AAAGGGAGAAAGGCGUUGGGGGGUGUGAGGUAGAAGACGGGAGUGUUUAGGUCAAAUUCUUUUUAAUUUUUAAUUAAUUUAUUAAUUUUAUAAAUAAUAUAUUUUUUAAUUUCCACAUGGAUGACACGUGUCACCCAGUCAUUGUCCACAUAGGCGCCACGUCACAGUUAACGGGAGACUUAACAGUUUGACUAACAGAUGUAUGAGACUGUCCCAAAAUUUACACUUUAGGUAUGACUCUGGGACAAAAAAAACUUGAUGUACUAAAUGUUGAAAACCACGAAACAUAAGGGUAGUAAACAGUCUUUUGCCCUAAAAUUAAUAUACGUGAGUUUUCACUAGUAAUAUUACCAAGGCCCUUUUGAAGAAAGUGGCUUGAGUGGAGAAUAAAAUAUCACCUUGGUUAUAUGACAAAAUAAUAUACAAUUAAUAAAUGAGUUUCCACUGGUAAUAUCACUGAUGCCUUUUUGAAGUAAGUUGAGGUUCCACCAUAAAAUCAAUUGGCAAUGUAGGAAAUAACCCAACCUUAUAUAUGCCCUUGCAUGGUUUGGUCUCUUACUAAUGUGAGAAUUUGUCCUCAAAAUCACACGACCCAUCACUUGUGGAAAAUUUUAAAUCUAACACGUGUACAAUACAAACGAGGUGACUUGGAGCACGUGUGCCCCUUGGGCUUCACACGUGGGUCAACUUGUUUUGAUACCUUGAAAUAGUUAGAGUUUGACUAUAAAACCAAUUGGCAAUAUAAUAGUAGCCCAACUUACUUACAAGCUCUUGCAUGACUUGGUCUCUCAUCAAUGUGGGACCUUGUUCUCACAAUCUCAUACCUUUGUGAUAAAACUCAACAUCUAAUAAUAGAUGGUUAAGUUAAAAUAACAUCGGUAAUGUUGCCAUGUUGGACCUAUAAGUUUAUCAGCUUGUAGCUUGGUAUCCUAGAAAGAAUUUAUGUGUGACCAUAUCACCAAAUCUCAUAAUUUCAAUAACUUUAGAUAUUCAACAUCAUUAAUGUUAAUGGUGGAUUUGUUGGGUCUAUAACUUUAGAAGGCAGAAAUCAACAUUGUGGAGCCAAAAAUAUUCACAGGGCGACACGUGGAUUUUUGGACAAAAAUGACAAAAAUACCCUUGCA
rnacentral:lncRNA from 1 species